UCACUAUUCUCUAUCCCCCUAGGUUUUUUGAAACAACUCCUUGCUUGUAGAGCCUUUGGUUGUUCAAGCAUCUCACUCUGAAACUUUUAAGACUACAUAAAAUGAUCAAGAGUACAUGGAUAACCAUUAUAGGAUAGGGUCUUCGUUGUGAUUGGUUUGGCUAUGGAUUCUGGAGUUGUAUAUGUAUCCAACGUUUUACAUUAAAUUAAAGUUUUUAAGAUCCCAUUAAGGAGACUUAACAAC
rnacentral:misc_RNA from 1 species